GGUGGUAUGGUCUAGUGGUAUGACGUCGCGUUGUGGCCGCGCCAGCCUGUAAGUUGGCCUCCUAUCAAAUGGAGAUUUAUAGUCACAGUGUACUGACUUCCUUGAAGGGGUUCGAUUCCCAGUACCGCCA